AGGAACGUAGUGUAACGGCAACAUGCAGGUCUCCAAAACCUUGCGUUCUAGGUUCGAAUCCUAGCGUUUCUG
rnacentral:tRNA from 1 species